rnacentral:rRNA from 2 species
GCAGUCGAACGCGUCUUGGUUAUUGAUGUUAGAUGCUUGCAUUUAACUGAUUUAACAUUGAGACGAGUGGCGAACUGGUGAGUAACACGUGGGUAACCUGCCCUUGAAGUAGGGGAUAACACUUGGAAACAGGUGCUAAUACCGUAUAACAACCAAAACCACCUGGUUUUGGUUUAAAAGAUGGCUUCGGCUAUCACUUUAGGAUGGACCCGCGGCGUAUUAGCUUGUUGGUAAGGUAACGGCCUACCAAGGCAAUGAUACGUAGCCGACCUGAGAGGGUAAUCGGCCACAUUGGGACUGAGACACGGCCCAAACUCCUACGGGAGGCAGCAGUAGGGAAUCUUCCACAAUGGACGAAAGUCUGAUGGAGCAACGCCGCGUGAGUGAUGAAGGGUUUCGGCUCGUAAAACUCUGUUGUUGGAGAAGAACAGGUGUGAGAGUAACUGUUCACAUCUUGACGGUAUCCAACCAGAAAGCCACGGCUAACUACGUGCCAGCAGCCGCGGUAAUACGUAGGUGGCAAGCGUUGUCCGGAUUUAUUGGGCGUAAAGCGAGCGCAGGCGGUUUCUUAGGUCUGAUGUGAAAGCCUUCGGCUUAACCGGAGAAGUGCAUCGGAAACCAGGAGACUUGA